rnacentral:rRNA from 1 species
UACGAAGGGGCUAGCGUUGUUCGGAUUUACUGGGCGUAAAGCGCACGUAGGCGGAUCGUUAAGUCGGGGGUGAAAUCCUGGAGCUCAACCCCGGAACUGCCUUCGAUACUGGGUAUCUUGAGUUCGGAAGAGGUGAGUGGAAUUGCGAGUGUAGAGGUGAAAUUCGUAGAUAUUCGCAGGAACACCAGUGGCGAAGGCGGCUCACUGGUCCGAUACUGACGCUGAGGUGCGAAAGCGUGGGGAGCAAACAGGG